UAUCUUCGGGGCAUGGUGAAAAUCCAUACCGGCAGUAAAGCCUGCGAACCUGAUAAGGUUGAUUCGGUGAAACUCCGAAGCCGACGGUCAAAGUCCGGAUGAAAGAAGAU
rnacentral:ncRNA from 1 species